UGGGGAAUAUUGGGCAAUGGGCGAAAGCCUGACCCAGCGACGCCGCGUGGGCGAUGAAGGCCUUCGGGUUGUAAAGCCCUGUCAUGCGGAAAGAACGACCCUGAGACGCAUACUCUCAGGGAGUGACGGUACCGCAGGAGGAAGCACCGGCUAACUCCGUGCCAGCAGCCGCGGUAAUACGGAGGGUGCAAGCGUUGUUCGGAAUUAUUGGGCGUAAAGGGCGCGUAGGCGGUAAUGUAAGUCAGAUGUGAAAUACUUCGGCUCAACUGAAGAACUGCAUCUGAAACUACAUAACUAGAGUACAGAAGAGGGAAACGGAAUUCCCGGUGUAGAGGUGAAAUUCGUAGAUAUCGGGAGGAACACCAGUGGCGAAGGCGGUUUCCUGGUCUGAUACUGACGC
rnacentral:rRNA from 1 species